UACGGAGGGGGCUAGCGUUGUUCGGAAUUACUGGGCGUAAAGCGCACGUAGGCGGCUUCGCAAGUCAGAGGUGAAAGCCCGGGGCUCAACCCCGGAACUGCCUUUGAGACUGCGUCGCUCGAAUCCGGGAGAGGCGGGUGGAAUUCCGGGUGUAGCGGUGAAAUGCGUAGAUAUACGGAAGAACACCAGUGGCGAAGGCGGCCCGCUGGACCGCCAUUGACGCUGAGGUGCGAAAGCGUGGGGAGCAAACAGG
rnacentral:rRNA from 1 species